AUGGAAGUGAUGACUCUUUCCCCAAAUGAUCGACGCUGAUUAAACUGAGCGAUAUUUUCUCUUUUGAGAAACCAAGCCAAUGUUCUGAUCCAU